rnacentral:rRNA from 1 species
AACGAACGCUGGCGGCAUGCCUAACACAUGCAAGUCGAACGAAGGCUUCGGCCUUAGUGGCGCACGGGUGCGUAACGCGUGGGAAUCUGGCCCUUGGGUUCGGAAUAACUCAGAGAAAUUUGAGCUAAUACCGGAUGAUGACGUAAGUCCAAAGAUUUAUCGCCCAAGGAUGAGCCCGCGUAAGAUUAGCUAGUUGGUGGGGUAAAGGCCUACCAAGGCGACGAUCUUUAGCUGGUCUGAGAGGAUGAUCAGCCACACUGGGACUGAGACACGGCCCAGACUCCUGCGGGAGGCAGCAGUGGGGGAAUAUUGGACGAAUGGGCGAAAGCCGUGACGCAGCGACGCCGCGUGGGUGAUGAAGGCCUC